rnacentral:lncRNA from 1 species
GAAAACAGUUUCAAUAGCUUCAUAAUACAAUUUUUUACUUAGAAUAUGACCCCCUGCUGCUAAUGCUGAGCUGAACUCUAAUCAUUCUACUCUCCUUUACUGAGAUCACGAAGAUCCCACGUGGGAAGGCGCCUGUCUUCCAAACAGGUUCUCAAUCUUUACUUAUCUAUUUUAUAUUUGAUAAUAGGAUUGAGAUUAAAUUAUUAUCAACCAAUUACCAUGCUUCUAGCUAACACUAGUGUUCUUAACACGUUAUGUGCUCAGAAAACCAGUGCGUGAGGGCGGACGUCCUCACCCACCCUGGAUGGUGCCAAAGUGACUUUAGUCGGCAUAAGAACAAACAACUAAAUGGGUCUCCUUAGCCUUUUGUUAGCUUCGGGGGCAUCUAGAUGAGGAAGUCGAUUCAGAACACGCAAGAAAAGGGUUGAUGGAAGUGCAUUUGAUUGGGACGCUAGUGAGUUAAUGAGCACUGUUUGCAUGGUUCCAUCA